UGAACGCUGGCGGCAUGCCUUACACAUGCAAGUCGAACGGCAGCACGGGUGCUUGCACCUGGUGGCGAGUGGCGAACGGGUGAGUAAUACAUCGGAACAUGUCCUGUAGUGGGGGAUAGCCCGGCGAAAGCCGGAUUAAUACCGCAUACGAUCUACGGAUGAAAGCGGGGGACCUUCGGGCCUCGCGCUAUAGGGUUGGCCGAUGGCUGAUUAGCUAGUUGGUGGGGUAAAGGCCUACCAAGGCGACGAUCAGUAGCUGGUCUGAGAGGACGACCAGCCACACUGGGACUGAGACACGGCCCAGACUCCUACGGGAGGCAGCAGUGGGGAAUUUUGGACAAUGGGCGAAAGCCUGAUCCAGCAAUGCCGCGUGUGUGAAGAAGGCCUUCGGGUUGUAAAGCACUUUUGUCCGGAAAGAAAUCCUUGGCUCUAAUACAGUCGGGGGAUGACGGUACCGGAAGAAUAAGCACCGGCUAACUACGUGCCAGCAGCCGCGGUAAUACGUAGGGUGCGAGCGUUAAUCGGAAUUACUGGGCGUAAAGCGUGCGCAGGCGGUUUGCUAAGACCGAUGUGAAAUCCCCGGGCUCAACCUGGGAACUGCAUUGGUGACUGGCAGGCUAGAGUAUGGCAGAGGGGGGUAGAAUUCCACGUGUAGCAGUGAAAUGCGUAGAGAUGUGGAGGAAUACCGAUGGCGAAGGCAGCCCCCUGGGCCAAUACUGACGCUCAUGCACGAAAGCGUGGGGAGCAAACAGGAUUAGAUACCCUGGUAGUCCACGCCCUAAACGAUGUCAACUAGUUGUUGGGGAUUCAUUUCCUUAGUAACGUAGCUAACGCGUGAAGUUGACCGCCUGGGGAGUACGGUCGCAAGAUUAAAACUCAAAGGAAUUGACGGGGACCCGCACAAGCGGUGGAUGAUGUGGAUUAAUUCGAUGCAACGCGAAAAACCUUACCUACCCUUGACAUGGUCGGAAUCCCGCUGAGAGGUGGGAGUGCUCGAAAGAGAACCGGCGCACAGGUGCUGCAUGGCUGUCGUCAGCUCGUGUCGUGAAAUGUUGGGUUAAGUCCCGCAACGAGCGCAACCCUUGUCCUUAGUUGCUACGCAAGAGCACUCUAAGGAGACUGCCGGUGACAAACCGGAGGAAGGUGGGGAUGACGUCAAGUCCUCAUGGCCCUUAUGGGUAGGGCUUCACACGUCAUACAAUGGUCGGAACAGAGGGUUGCCAACCCGCGAGGGGGAGCUAAUCCCAGAAAACCGAUCGUAGUCCGGAUUGCACUCUGCAACUCGAGUGCAUGAAGCUGGAAUCGCUAGUAAUCGCGGAUCAGCAUGCCGCGGUGAAUACGUUCCCGGGUCUUGUACACACCGCC
rnacentral:rRNA from 1 species